CAAAAGGAAGCUUGGGACUUCAGAUCGCAUCCGUACAUGGAAGCUGUCCUCACUGAGUGUUAUGGUUUGGAUGUGAGAUGUCCCUCAAAAGGUCACGUGUGAGAUAAUGCAAGAAGGUCUGGAGGAGAAAUGAUUGGGUUAUAGCCUUAGACCAAUCAGUGAAUUGAUCCCUGAUGGGAUUAACCGGGUGGUAACUGGAGGCAGGUGGGGUGUGGCUGGAGGAAGUGGUUCAUGGGGGUGUGGUGUAUAUAUUUUGUAUCUGUAGAGUGGAGUCUCUCUGCUUUCUUUUUUUCUUUUUAAAUAUUUAUUUUUUUUUAGGUGUAGAUGGACACAACACAAUGCCUUUAUUUUUAUGUGGUGCUGAGACUUGAACCCUGGUCCCACUCGCACUCUACCGCUGAGCCGCAAUCCCAGCCCCCGCCCCCCUUGCUUUCUGAUCACCAUGUGAGCUGCUUCCCUCUGCCACUCUCUUCCACCAUGAUAUUCUGCCUCACCUUGUGCCCUGAUGAAUGGAGCCUGCUGCCUAUGGACUGAGACCUCUGAAACUGUGAGCCCUGAGAUAAACCUUUCCUCCUCUACAGUUGUGCUGGUGGGUCCUUUAGUCACAGUAGUGAAAAAGCUGACUAAAACACUGAGCAUCGUCUCUUUCCCCUGACCAAGGGCUAGGAUCUGGUCAUGCUGGUGACAAGCAGCUGUGAAUGUACAGAGACCCUAUGGCAUAGUCAGGCCAUUGGAUAGCAGGAUCCUUGAGACCUUGUAGAAAAGAGCCACCCCUGCCCCAGGCCAUCUCUCCUUCUGGCCUGUUGUGUGGGAAGGAAAAUGAUGUCUUUUAUUUAAGCCAUUGUGCUUAAGGAUCUUGUUAAAGCAGCUUGGUCUGUACCUUAAUUACUGUUUCCCAUCCAUGCCAAGGUCUCUUUCCACAGUGCUCUUGGCCCCUCAGCAGCCGCUCCAAUCCCUCCUCUCUCAUUUCUUCCCUUCUUUUUCUCUCCCCACCUCCAUGGCUGCAAUCUUUCAGUCUCCAUCCCAUACCUGGACUCCUAUGUCACAUUUUUUUUUUUGUAGUGAGGGGUGCUUAACCACUG
rnacentral:lncRNA from 1 species